CAGAAGCGCAGUCAUGUCCUGUGGGCCAAGGCUCAAUUAAAAUAAACUGUUUCAAAGUGGAAAAGUGUUCUAUGGUCAGACGAGUCCAAAUUUGACAUUCUUGCCAGAAAUCACAGACGCUGUGUUCUCCGGGGAAAAGAGGAGGGAGACCUUCCAGCGUGUUAUGAGCAUUCAGUUCUGAUGGUUUAGGGGUGCAUAUGGUAUGGGUAGCUUUGCAUGUUUUGGAAAGCACUAUGAAUGCUGAAAGGUAUAUAAAGGUUUUAGAGCAACAUCUGCUCCUUUCCAGACAACAUAUAUAUCACGGACUGGCCUUGUUUAUUUCAGCAGGACAAUACAAAACCACAUACUGCAGCUAUUACAACAGCAUGGCUUGGUAGUAGAGGAGUCUGGGUGCUGAAUUGCCCUGCCUACAGUACAGAUAUUUCACCUUUAAAGAACAUUUGGUGCAUCAUUAAACAAAAAAUAUUUCAAAGACAACCACGGACUCUUCAGCAACAGGAAACCUAUAUCAGGCAAGGAUGGGACCAAAUUCCAACAACAAAAAGUCCAGAAACUAAUAACCUCGAUGCCCAGACAUCUUCCAACUGUUUUGAAGAGAAGAGGAGAUGCUACACCAUGGUAAACAUGCCCCCAUCCCAACUAUUUUUAGACCUGAGCAGGCAUCACAUUUGAAAUGAGCUCAAUUUGUGCAUAAAAUUUUAAAAUUUCUCAUUUGUUAUCCAUGUUCUAUUAUUAUAAAAUAUUGGAUAGUGAUUUUAAAAAUUUUCCGAAAUUCUGGUUGUAACUUAACUUUUCAAUUCAAGUUUAUUUAUAUAGAGCUCCGGACCCCACGUGACCACCAGUGUUCGGGCCGCCAUUUUGGCAGUAAAAUGGCCAGCGCCAGUGCCGAAGCUUUCAAGCCAUCGGAGUACUCAUCUCACUUUAAUUCGAAUGACAUUGAGCUUUAUAUAAAAAAAUUAAAUAGGUUAAAUAUUACCGACCCAUACAAUGCCCCCGGGGUACUUUUCAAAAGUAUCUCCGCUGAAGAAGAUGUCCCAGAUUUGCAGUAUCCGGAUAUAUACAAUUACCUGAUAAACUUCCCAUCUUCCUACUCGGGUGACUCUCUAAAAGCAUACAAAAGCCUGGAGGGUUACAAAUGGACUCAUUCUGGUUUCGUAACGAACAUCCAGAUGUGGAAUCUUCAAGCAAAAAAAUGCUGCAUCAUCACUGGAAGGGUUAAUCAUUCCCAAAGGCUUAAUGACCCUCAGUUAAAGCCAUGGAUGGUGGUGAGGAAUGAUGGGGUUGUCUUGGGAGCUCACUGCAAUUGCACAGCUGACUUGGUGAGAGCUGCUCCCAUGUGUCAGCUGUGUUGUUCAGCAUAUGGCAGCAUAACAAUGGAAGAAAAGAAGAGAUAGCUGUAACAUCUAAGAAGUGCAAGUGGGCCACCCCAAGUGAGGACUCUUUAAAGAAAGUGGAGUAUCAGCAGGGCAAGGACAUAAUUUUUAACAACACUCAACAAUAUAAAAAAGGAAAAUCUUCGAAAGGUCAUUCUGCCUCCCCAGCUUUCCCACCUCUGACCGCUGCUGAGCAAGCCCAACUCUACAACAACCUCUCCCAAUGCCGCACACAAGAGGAGCAGAUCAUCAAACCAGUAGUCCUGUCUGUUGUCAAAGAGUAUGCAGCAUCCUAUGUGCCAAAGGCUGUCAUGCUGAAUGUACCAGAACCCCUCACAAACCUGUAUAACAAGCAGUUAAGGGACCUCAACCUGGCAGAGUUACAAGAUCGAGCAGAAGCACUUUUUGAAGACAUACCUGUGACCAAAGAACAGGUACAGAAAAUUUGUAUCUAUCAUUGCUGGAAUGUGUGUGUGUUUGUGUCAGAGAGAGGCAUGGGCACGAUCAAAGAGUGGAAACAUAAAAAAAUACUCUUUGAUUUUGUUCAUACUGGACAUUAUUCAAACUGCAAAGUGUUUAGCCUACUUAUAUUUUUGUAAAACACCUCACUGUGCCUUUGUCAAACCGUUACCACUGUCAACCAACCACAG
rnacentral:lncRNA from 1 species